rnacentral:rRNA from 1 species
UAAAGAGCAAAGGGCGCAAGGUGGAUGCCUAAGCACCAAAUGGCGAUGAAGGACGUGGCGAACUGCGAAAAGCCUCGGGGAGCUGUAAGCGAGCUUUGAUCCGGGGAUAUCCGAAUGGGGAAACCUGUCAGGAGUGAAAUCUUGACAUCUCCGUAAGGGGAGGCGAACCUGGUGAACUGAAACAUCUUAGUAGCCAGAGGAAGAGGAAGUAACAACGAUUCUCUGAGUAGUGGCGAGCGAAAGGGGAUUAGCCUAAACCGGCGCAGAGUCGGGGUAGAGGGACGGCGAGGUCUGGUAAUUACUUAUAGGCGAACCGAUCUGGAAAGGUCGACCGUAGAGGGUGAUAGUCCUGUAGUUGAAAUAGGUAAUUAUUGGUAGUCGGAUCCCGAGUAGCCUGGGGCACGAGGAAUCCUGGGUGAAUCAGCGAGGACCAUCUCGUAAGGCUAAAUACAUUUGGUGACUGAUAGCGUAGCAGUACCGUGAGGGAAAGGUGAAAAGGACCCCGGGAGGGGAGUGAAAUAGAACCUGAAACCUUGUGCCUACAAGCGGUCAGAGCUGGUAGCGUAAGUUACUGGUGAUGGCGUGCCUUUUGCAUAAUGAGCCGACGAGUUAAUGUUUUAAGCGAGGUUAAGUGUUACAGGCACGUAGCCGUAGCGAAAGCGAGUCGUAAAUAGGCGUGAUAGUUUAAGGCAUUAGACCCGAAACCGGGUGAUCUACUCCUGGUCAGGCUGAAGGUUGGGUAAAACCAGCUGGAGGGCCGCACCAACCGUCGUUGAAAAGGCGGUGGAUGAACUGGGGGUAGGGGUGAAAGGCCAAUCAAACCCGGAGAUAGCUGGUUCUCUUCGAAACAUAUUUAGGUAUGGCCUCAGGAGAGAUUAAUAGAGGUAGAGCACUGAAUGGGCUAGGGGGCUUAUAGGCUUACUGAACCCAAUCAAACUCCGAAUGCUAUUAAUUGAUUUCUGGGAGACAGGGCGUGGGGGAUAAGCUUCACGUGCGAGAGGGGAAGAACCCAGACUGUCAGCUAAGGUCCUUAAAUAGGUGUUAAGUGCUAAAGGAUGUGCAAUUGCAGAGACAGCCAGGAUCUUGGCUUAGAAGCAGCCAUGAUUUAAAGAGUGCGUAACAGCUCACUGGUCGAGUGGUAGUGCACCGAAGAUAAUCGGGACUUAAGCAUCUUACCGAAGCUGCGGAGUAGCCAUAGAUUUAAUUUUUGGAUAAAACUGAGGAUUAGAUAGGUUACUGGUAGGAGAGCAUUGUGUAUACGGAGAAGGUAUACUGGGAGGUAUGCUGGAGUGUACACAAGAGACCAUGUCGGCAUGAGUAACGAUAAUGCGGGUGAGAAACCCGCACACCACAAGCCCGAGGAUUCCUGAGUAAAGAUAAUCUUCUCAGGGUUAGUCGGUCCCUAAGGUAUAGCGGCAAGGCGAAGCUGAAGGGAAUCAGGUUAAUAUUCCUGAACCUUUGCAUAAUGCGAUGGAGUGACGCGAUGGUGCGGCAGGGACGGCUGUUGGAAUAGCCGUUGAAUGCGUGUAGGAGGUGAUGCAGGCAAAUCCACAUCACAGGGACUCCGAGGCGUAGGACGAGGCGUAAGCCAUAAAGUCUGCUUAGAUACAUUGCCGAGAAAUAGCUUCUAAGCGUCAGUUAUGCAGAGACCGUACCGCAAACCGACACAGGUGGGCGAGGAGAAUAUCCUAAGGUGUUCGAGCGAACUCUGGUUAAGGAACUAGGCAAAAUGGCCCCGUAACUUCGGGAGAAGGGGUACCCCGUUAUGGUGAAGGAGCACAUCUGGAGCCAGAGGGGGUCGCAGUGAAGAGGCCCAAGCGACUGUUUACCAAAAACACAGGUCUAUGCGAAGGCGAAAGCCACGGUAUAUAGACUGACACCUGCCCGGUGCCGGAAGGUUAAGUGGAGAGGUUAUCCUAACUGGGAACAGUUAGGAGAAGCUUCGAAACGAAGCCCCGGUAAACGGCGGCCGUAACUAUAACGGUCCUAAGGUAGCGAAAUUCCUUGUCGGGUAAGUUCCGACCUGCACGAAUGGUGUAACGAUUUGGGCGCUGUCUCAACCAGGGGCUCGGUGAAAUUGAAGUAGCGGUGAAGAUGCCGCUUACCCGCGAACGGACGGUAAGACCCCGUGAACCUUUACUGUAGCUUGGCAUUGUAAACUGGUGCAGUAUGUGUAGGAUAGGUGGGAGGCUGGGAAGCGUGCACGCCAGUGUGCGUGGAGCCGACCUUGAAAUACCACCCUUACUGUAUUGGUUUACUAACGAUGCUGAGGGCAUUGGACAUUGCCAGGUGGGCAGUUUGACUGGGGCGGUCGCCUCCUAAAGAGUAACGGAGGCUUACCAAGGUUCCCUCUGGCUGGUUGGUAAUCAGCCUAAGAGUAUAAAGGCAUAAGGGAGCUUGACUGCGAGACUGACGGGUCGAGCAGGUGGGAAACCAGGUCUUAGUGAUCCGGCGGUCCUGAAUGGAAGGGCCGUUGCUCAAAGGAUAAAAGGUACUCCGGGGAUAACAGGCUGAUACCGCCCAAGAGUUCAUAUCGACGGCGGUGUUUGGCACCUCGAUGUCGGCUCAACUCAUCCUGGGGCUGAAGAAGGUCCCAAGGGUUCGGCUGUUCGCCGAUUAAAGAGUUACGCGAGCUGGGUUCAGAACGUCGUGAGACAGUUCGGUCCCUAUCCUUCGUGGGCGUAGGAAAUUUGAGGAGAUCCGCAUCUAGUACGAGAGGACCGGUGUGGACGGACCUCUGGUGUACCGGUUGUGAUGCCCAUUGCAUUGCCGGGUAGCCAUGUUCGGACGGGAUAACCGCUGAAAGCAUCUAAGCGGGAAGCCUACUCCAAGAUGAGAUUUCCCAUGAGACCGGUGGUAGACUACCACCUUGAUAGGUCACAGGUGUAAGGUGGGUAACCACUUCAGCCGAGUGAUACUAAUCGGUCAAUUGACUUUC